rnacentral:lncRNA from 1 species
ACUGUUCGAUAUCCGUGGUAUUUCCAUGGUCUGGUACCUGGCCAGAAUCCGGCAGAAGAGUCCAGACUUCUGAUGCAGAUUGCUAAGGAGGUAGAGGAGCAGAACCAUGAUGAGCCUGGCAUGAUACAGGAGGUGCUCCUGAACCAGGCUGACUUUUUAGCGAUCAAAGGAAUGCUGUUUGAUAAAGGUGAGGGAUACAGGUUUUAUUAUUCCUCUGGCCUUGCGCAUUAAAAGCCAAACGCUGAAUUACAAUAUGCAAAAAAAAAAUGCAUCUAUUGAGUUGAAGACUUGCAUCUCCAUUUUUGACAGAAUCCUAAAACCCGUAAAUGUGCAAAUCUCCCCAUCUCCUUCCAGCUGUGUCCCGUUUGAAGGAGAUCCGUUCAGAGCAGAACCAAACAGAACUUCUUACCAAGGUCACUAGCAAACCUGAACCAGUAGUGGUCAAGCAGGAGAUGGAGUGCCAGGUGGUGUCCCAUCAUGCCUUGGGGCAGUCUUCGUUGCCGCAGAGAUGUAGGAGAAAUGCUGGUGACAAAAUGAUCUUGCUUUUAAAAUGUCGUUCCCUAUUCUAUUAAAUUCUCUCUCUAUUUCUCAGUGAAGCGCCAUUCUAGCAUCAAAGAGUCACCCGAGCAAGGGAAGAAACCGAAGGUGUCUAGUUCCCCUGAGUGUCAGGCCGUGAAAUCUGACCCUGCCUUUGACAGCUGUCCGUCGUCCUCUGAGGUCACUGAACCUUUUGACCCACCAUCAGGCAACCAGUCGUGCGCCGUCGAAACCUCAUCACUUGGCCACACUGACCCAGAACUGAAAAACACUCCUUCACAUACAGACUCUCAAUGUGAGCUGGAGGUCAGUCCACCCGGUAGCCCUGCUGACAAUCUGACUGUAUCCAAAAUGUUCUCAAGAAAGAAGCAGUCUCACUCGGUUUCCACCCGCGGCCACAAGCUCAGCAACAAACAUUUGGACAAGAAGGAUCCUGCUGACAGGGCUAAGGUCUCUCACGCACACAGCAAUGGCACACGCUCACACAGAGACCGCAGACACACUCACGCACACAGUCAUCACCAACACGCACGCAGUUGCAGUCGUACCAAACACACGCACAGUCUCAGUAAUGCCAAACACACUCGCGUGCGCACUGACCACGCAAGGACAGGCAAAGCCUGGCUCCGUGGCAGGACCCCAGAGAGACGCCGCAACAGAGAUCUUGCUGACCGACGUUCCGACCGCUCGCGCUCUCGUACCCCCCGCAGGAGACGUCGUUCUGUCCCCGGCUGCUCUCCGAAAGACCCGCCCACGGUUUGUCCCUUCAAGACCCACCAGGCCUCCACCUACUGCCUUUUCACUCACACCCCAUCCUAUCCCAGCAAAUCCACUUCGGCCCACAGUCUGGCCCGGGAUGACCCCAGCCAACCGCCGUGCCCGUCUAAAGACCUGUCCAGCCAGUCCAGCCCGGCAGACAGGAGACCGUCCAAACCAACCACAGUGGUUAGGCCUCUCCAGGCCAAGGAGCAUCCACCAAACGACACCCCCGACAUGCCCCUCCACCCAGCGAGAACUGGACCCUGGACCCCACCGCCCCUGCCAGCCACCCCUACCCUCCUACCUCCCCCGCCCGAGCAAGAUCUCCUUUCUGCCUCUGGGAAUAAUAUGGCCUCCACUGUGGACGGUAUUAUGUUUAUUGGGGACUCUUCGCUGCGCUUCCCCCACUUGCCUGCUUCGACCACCCUGCCAAGGGCAGUGGGAGGUGGGGCUGAUUCCUGGACCAAGGGCCCUAUCGCUGGCAAGGAGAUGCCCGCCGAGGCGAUGGGGGUGGACUCAAAGGGCCGUGCUAUUGGCACGGUGGCAAUACCGGCCAACCCUCUGAAGAGGAAUCUUUCCGCGCCGGAACCAAAGGACCGAGAUCCCUGGAGCUAUGAGAACCGACAGUUCAUCACCAACCCCAGCAUCCAGGCUUCUAACCCCACUGCCAUUGCCUCACAGGCCCAGUGGGGCUACGCCGGAGGGUUGUCGGUUGGUCAGUUCACCUCUAACCCCGGCAGCUCUGCCCCUUGCCCCGGAGGCCGACUCUCCCUGGAGGGAUACCCUGUAGCCACCUACCCUGGUACGGGUUACCCAGGGGUGGGUGGGUUCACUUCCAGCUCCCCCACUGACCUCGGACCCAGUAACACACAGUCACAGCCCGGGUGGUCAGGGGGCUACUGGGGAACAGGCUACCAAGCUACGAGUCAACCGGAGACUGGCUACGUGUUGGCCAAUCAGGCUGGUCUUUCCUACCCCGGAGGUUUUUCUGGAAGUGAAGGGAGCUACCCCGGACAUCAGGUCUACCCAGGGGUAUUCUAUUCGGACACGGACUACCGUGGGCGUGCCUUCCCCGGGUCGGGUACUGGACUGGGUUCUGCUGGGGUGCCCCCCAGCAGCCACUACUCAACCAAACCACCGCUUCCGGCUGUUGGCUGCUGGGAAUUUGCCUCUCCAGCGGUGGGGAGUUGCCAGAGCUACUCCACCUGGACAGCAAAUGUCACCAGGGUUGCCAUGGAAACCAACACUGCUGGUAUUACUGUUGGGACCCCAACCCAGCUUGUCGGUCAAACCUGGGACCCCCGUGAGUGGAUGCCACCCCCUCAGUGAGCAUUGCCAGUGUGGAUGUCAAAGUGAGUGUUUGAACAGGGAAUGGAGGAUGUUGAGAAUGUCUAGAGGAAUGUGACCAGUUGAGAG